GAGUUUGAUCGUGGCUCAGAUUGAACGCUGGCGGCGUGCUUAACACAUGCAAGUCGAACGAAGAGAAUAGAAAGCUUGCUUUUUGUUUUCUGAGUGGCGGACGGGUGAGUAACGUGUGGGCAACCUAUCCUAAACAGGGGAAUAAUCAUUGGAAACGAUGACUAAUACCGCGUAAUGUCGCCGAAAGGCAUCUUUUGGCGAAGUAGAGGAGCAAUCCGGUUUUGGAGGGCCCGCAUCUGAUUAGCUAGUUGGUGAGAUAACAGCCCACCAAGGCAACGAUCAGUAGCCGACCUGAGAGGGUGAUCGGCCACAUUGGGACUGAGACACGGCCCAAACUCCUACGGGAGGCAGCAGUGGGGAAUAUUGCACAAUGGGCGCAAGCCUGAUG
rnacentral:rRNA from 1 species